GCAAAGUAGCGCGAUUGAAGAUGAGUAACACCGUCGCCGUCGAUUGUUGGCUUCUCAGUUCCGGCGUUUCCUCCUUUACAUCCACUUCCAAGUUGUACUUUCCGGCCAAUUUUUCUCGAAAGCCACGCUUUGGUAGCAACACAAUUCGAGCUUCCGCCACCACAAACGGUUCAAGUGAAGGUGUUAUUUACAAAGCGUUAUUAUGUGGAAGAAGAGCCUUACUAUCUAUGAUUACCUUGCCUCUUGUUAUGCCG
rnacentral:misc_RNA from 1 species